AUUGAACGCUGGCGGCAGGCUUAACACAUGCAAGUCGAGCGGGGUGAUGGUGCUUGCACUAUCACUUAGCGGCGGACGGGUGAGUAAUGCUUAGGAAUCUGCCUAUUAGUGGGGGACAACAUCUCGAAAGGGAUGCUAAUACCGCAUACGUCCUACGGGAGAAAGCAGGGGAUCACUUGUGACUUUGCGCUAAUAGAUGAGCCUAAGUCGGAUUAGCUAGUUGGUGGGGUAAAGGCCUACCAAGGCGACGAUCUGUAGCGGGUCUGAGAGGAUGAUCCGCCACACUGGGACUGAGACACGGCCCAGACUCCUACGGGAGGCAGCAGUGGGGAAUAUUGGACAAUGGGGGGAACCCUGAUCCAGCCAUGCCGCGUGUGUGAAGAAGGCCUUAUGGUUGUAAAGCACUUUAAGCGAGGAGGAGGCUCUUUUGGUUAAUACCCAAGAUGAGGGACGUUACUCGCAGAAUAAGCACCGGCUAACUCUGUGCCAGCAGCCGCCGUAA
rnacentral:rRNA from 1 species